rnacentral:misc_RNA from 1 species
AAGGAGCACCACGAAAAGCAUCCCAACUGGUGGGGUGCGAGCCGUGAGGGGUUCUCGUCUGUAGUGGACGAGGGCCGGGUGCGCGGCAACGAACAAGCCAGACACACUAUUGGGUCCUGAGGCAACACUCAGGCUUGGCCAGAGCUGUUGUCCCACCAUCUUG